rnacentral:rRNA from 1 species
AGACGAACCGUACGAACGUUAUUCGGAAUUACUGGGCUUAAAGGGUGCGUAGGCUGCGCGGAAAGUUGGGUGUGAAAGCCCUCAGCUCAACUGAGGAAUUGCAUCCAAAACUGCCGUGCUUGAGGGAGACAGAGGUGAGCGGAACUCAAGGUGGAGCGGUGAAAUGCGUUGAUAUCACACAGAAUACCAAUUGCGAAGGCAGAUCACUAACAAUAUACUGACGCUGAUGGACGAAAGCGUGGGUAGCGAACAGGAUUAGAUACCCUGGUAGUCCACGCCGUAAACGAUGGAUACUAGCUGUAUGUCUACUUCAGGUAGAUGUGUGGCUAAGCGAAAGUGAUAA